rnacentral:rRNA from 1 species
GACGAACGCUGGCGGCGUGCUUAACACAUGCAAGUCGAACGAAAAGACGGAAAGAGCUUGCUCUUUUCAGAAUUGAGUGGCAAACGGGUGAGUAACACGUAAACAACCUGCCUUCAGGAUGGGGACAACAGAUGGAAACGACUGCUAAUACCGAAUAAGUUCCAAGGGCCGCAUGGCCCAUGGAAGAAAAGGUGGCCUCUACCUGUAAGCUAUCGCCUGAAGAGGGGUUUGCGUCUGAUUAGCUGGUUGGAGGGGUAACGGCCCACCAAGGCAACGAUCAGUAGCCGGUCUGAGAGGAUGAACGGCCACACUGGAACUGAGACACGGUCCAGACUCCUACGGGAGGCAGCAGUGGGGAAUCUUCCGCAAUGGGCGAAAGCCUGACGGAGCAACGCCGCGUGAGUGAUGACGGCCUUCGGGUUGUAAAACUCUGUGAUCCGGGACGAAAAGGCAGAGUGCGAAGAACAAACUGCAUUGACGGUACCGGAAAAGCAAGCCACGGCUA